AAUCAAGCUACUAAGGGCCUACGGUGGAUGCCUUGGCAUCGGAAGACGAUGAAGGACGUGGUUAGCUGCGAUAAGCCUCGGGGAGUUGCUAAACACACUGUGAUCCGGGGAUUUCCGAAUGGGGCAACCCGAUGGGGCAAACCCCCAUCAUCAUGAACUGAAUACAUAGGUUCAUGAAGGUAACGAGGAGAACUGAAACAUCUUAGUAUCCUUAGGAAAAGAAAUCAAAAGAGAUUCCCCAAGUAGUGGCGAGCGAACGGGGAUCAGCCUAAACCCUGUGAAUGCCAAGCCUGCCGGCGUUGUUCAUGGGGGGUCGCGGGACAUGAUCGGAGCUUUCGGCAGAAGGCUCGGGAAGUUACAAAACAAACGCUUAGCCGAACAUCCCUGGAACGGGAGACCAAAGAAGGUGAUAGUCCUGUAAGCGAAAAGUGAUUUGUCUUCCUGGAUCGUGCACCCAAGUACCGCGGGACACGUGGAACCCUGCGGGAAUCUGGGAGGACCACCUUCCAAGGCUAAAUACUAACCGAUGACCGAUAGUGAACUAGUACCGUGAGGGAAAGGUGAAAAGAACCCCGGUUAGGGGAGUGAAAAGUACCUGAAACCGUUGGCCUACAAACUGUAGAAGCCUGAUUCGAUCUAUGAUCGACGGGUGACUGCGUGCCUUUUGCAUAAUGAGUCAGCGAGUUGCUGCAUGCGGCAAGGUUAAGUCGUGAGACGGAGCCGUAGCGAAAGCGAGUCUUAAUAGGGCGAUGAGUCGUAUGUAGCAGACCCGAAACCGGGUGAUCUAUCCAUGGGCAGGGUAAAGCGAGAGUAAAAUCUCGUGGAGGCCCGAACCUUUGCACGUUGAAAAGUGCCUGGAUGACCUGUGGAUAGGGGUGAAAGGCUAAUCAAACCCGGAAAUAGCUGGUUCUCCCCGAAAUAUAUUUAGGUAUAGCCUCGUGAAUGACCAGCGGAGGUAGAGCACUGAAUGGGCUAGGGGUCCCACCAGAUUACCAAACCCAAUCAAACUCCGAAUGCCGCUGAGUUGAAUCACGGGAGUCAGACUACGGGAGAUAAGUUUCGUGGUCGAAAGGGAAACAGCCCUGACCGCCAGCUAAGGUCCCAGAAGCAUGCUAAGUGGGAAAGGAUGUGGAAACGCACAGACAACCAGGAGGUUGGCUUAGAAGCAGCCAUCCUUUAAAGAAAGCGUAAUAGCUCACUGGUCAAGUGGGUCUGCGCCGAAAAUGUAACGGGGCUCAAGCAUGCUACCGAAGCUGCGGGAUGUAUUUAUACAUCGGUAGGGGAGCGUUCCACAAACGGUUGAAGCCGUACCGGAAGGAGCGGUGGACGAAGUGGAAGUGCGUAUGCUGACAUGAGUAGCGAGAAAACAGGUGAAAAACCUGUUCGCCGAAAACCCAAGGUUUCCUGGGGAAGGGUAAUCCGCUCAGGGUUAGUCGGUCCCUAAGCUGAGGCCGAAAGGCGUAAGUGAUGGGAAGCAGGUUAAUAUUCCUGCACCACGUAUGAGGCGUUUGAGCGAUGGAGGGACGCGGAAGGAUAGGCCAUCCGGGUGUUGGACGUCCUGGUUUGCGUCUGUAGGGGGAUGCUUUAGGCAAAUCCGGAGCAUCGUUAACUCCGAGGGACGUGAGGAGAGACUUUGUCUCAUAAACUGGUUGAUUCCAUGCCGCCAAGAAAAGCUUCUAAGCGAGCCGAAUGCGUGACCGUACCGUAAACCGACACAGGUGGGUGAGGUGAGUAUCCUAAGGCGCUCGAGGUAACCAUCGUUAAGGAACUCGGCAACUUGACACCGUAACUUCGGGAGAAGGUGUGCCCCGGUAGGGUGAUGCGACUUGCUCGCUGAGCCCCAGGGGGUUGCAGUGAAAUGGCCGUGGCGACUGUUUACUAAAAACACAGGACUCUGCAAAAUCGCAAGAUGAAGUAUAGGGUCUGACGCCUGCCCGGUGCCGGAAGGUUAAGGGGAGCUGUUAGCGCAAGCGAAGCGGUCAACCGAAGCCCCGGUAAACGGCGGCCGUAACUAUAACGGUCCUAAGGUAGCGAAAUUCCUUGUCGGGUAAGUUCCGACCUGCACGAAUGGCGUAACGAUUGCGGCGGUGUCUCAACGAUGGCCUCGGCGAAAUUGAAGUGACGGUGAAGAUACCGUCUACCCGUGGAAAGACGGAAAGACCCCGUGGACCUUUACUACAACUUGACAGUGUAUUUUGGGGUAUUUUGUGUAGGAUAGGUGGGAGGCUUUGAAGCCGGGACGCUAGUUUCGGUGGAGCCAUCCUUGAAAUACCACCCUGGGUAUCACGAGAUACUAACUCAGGCCCGUUAUCCGGGUCGAGGACACUGUCUGGUGGGUAGUUUGACUGGGGCGGUCGCCUCCUAAAGAGUAACGGAGGCGCGCGAAGGUUCCCUCAGGCUGAUUGGAAACCAGCCGAAGAGUGUAAAGGCAGAAGGGAGCUUGACUGCGAGAGAGACAUCUCGAGCAGGUGGGAAACCAGGUCUUAGUGAUCCGGUGGUUCCGUGUGGAAGGGCCAUCGCUCAACGGAUAAAAGGUACCCCGGGGAUAACAGGCUGAUCUCCCCCAAGAGUUCACAUCGACGGGGAGGUUUGGCACCUCGAUGUCGGCCCAUCGCAUCCUGGGGCUGAAGUCGGUCCCAAGGGUUUGGCUGUUCGCCAAUUAAAGCGGUACGCGAGCUGGGUUUAGAACGUCGUGAGACAGUUCGGUCCCUAUCUUCCACGGGCGCAGGAUAUCUGAGAGGCUCUGUCCCUAGUACGAGAGGACCGGGAUGGACGGACCCCUGGUGUUCCGGUUGUCGCGCCAGCGGCAUAGCCGGGUAGCUACGUCCGGAUCGGAUAACCGCUGAAAGCAUCUAAGCGGGAAGUCGACCUCAAGAUUAGAUAUCCCGGGCUUCGGCCCCUAAAGACCCCUCGAAGAUUACGAGGUUGAUAGGUCGGAUGUGGAAGUGCAGUAAUGCAUGGAGCUUACCGAUACUAAUAGGUCGUGCGGCUUGAUUAC
rfam:Desulfomonile tiedjei DSM 6799, complete genome.